rnacentral:rRNA from 1 species
AUUGAACGCUGGCGGCAUGCCUUACACAUGCAAGUCGAACGGCAGCACGGGUGCUUGCACCUGGUGGCGAGUGGCGAACGGGUGAGUAAUACAUCGGAACGUACCUUAUCGUGGGGGAUAACGCAGCGAAAGCUGUGCUAAUACCGCAUACGCCCUGAGGGGGAAAGCGGGGGAUCGCAAGACCUCGCGCGAUUAGAGCGGCCGAUGCCUGAUUAGCUAGUUGGUGGGGUAAAAGCCCACCAAGGCGACGAUCAGUAGCUGGUCUGAGAGGACGAUCAGCCAAACUGGGACUGAGACACGGCCCAGACUCCUCCGGGAGGCAGCAGUGGGGAAUUUUGGACAAUGGGGGCAACCCUGAUCCAGCAAUGCCGCGUGAGUGAAGAAGGCCUUCGGGUUGUAAAGCUCUUUUGUCAGGGAAGAAACACCGGCUCUAACACAGUCCGGGAAUGACGGUACCUGAAGAAUAAGCACCGGCUAACUACGUGCCAGCCGCCGCCGUAA